rnacentral:lncRNA from 1 species
CGAUUUAAAAGUCCCCGGGGCCGAUUUAAAAGUCAUUACCAUUUUUAAAACUCAGAGUCGCGGAAGAUGUACCAAAUUUUUUUUUUUUUUUUUUUUUUUUUGAAAAACCUGGCCCACGUGACGUACAGACCCGCCACAAAUACAAAGUUCCUCUGUCCAUUCGGGCAGAGCCUCCUUUGUAUCUGCACGGCGUACCAACGGAUACAACAGGAUCACAAUCACAAUCUACAUUUACCAAUCAGCAACCAAUUCAUGAUAUGCAUUUCCAUACAGCUAACAAUCCUUAGAAUGAUGCAUGCCUCUAAGCACUCCUUAAGCGCUGGAUGAUGCAAUGCACAAUACAACAACCAUCCUAUUUAAAAGUGCUCCCCACACAGAAGCUUUUAUUUUUGAACUCUAAUUCAUUCAUCAUGAAAAACCAUUUGAAAACCUUUUGAAAACUGUUUCCCACACAGAAACUCUAUUUUGAAAACCGACUACCUCGAGGGGUAGAAAACCACGAUGCGUAAAUCCAUAAAUACAAAUCCGAGAACAUAAGAAUUCAAACAUCCAAAACUGAAGAUCCAUAAACCCAAUCCUCACAAUUCCACAAAUUCAAUCCAGCUCACAACAUUCAAACAUCAAGUAUGAUCAUCUAACUGAACCAUAUAAAUAUAACUAAGCUACAACAACAGAAUAGUAAGGAUAGAAAACUAAAUCGAUAACCUGGUCGGAAGCUCUAAUCGACUGCUACGAACGUACGUCACGUUGCUCCAUAACUCAUCGCAAACAGCGAACGUGCCUUAUUUCCCGACAGAAAACAAAGUAAGUGGGACGAUGAUCAGCAAUCUUGCAGUAUAUCGUUACUUCCGAUGAACGGGAUCUCGGAAGCCUGAAAAGAAAGCCCAUCAAUUAUAAGCCUAUUGCUUGGCCGGAGCAACCAUUGCCCGGCCGUGCUUCGGCAUCGGCGCGCCCGGCCCUGAGUCGGGUGAGGGGAAUGUAGAACAAGUGCUCACUCAGAUCAGCGCUGAGCGCGGGGCGACGGCGGGGCAAGAUGCUCGCAACGGUUAUGGCACGUUCCAGAGUUUGUUUGCGGCAGGCGGCGGUGCGAGGAGGAGGAGGGUUUGCAGAGGCCGCAGGGGUGCCAGGAGUGCGCAUCGGUAGCGGCGGCGCGCGGAAAGACCCGAGCUCGCUGUCGCCGAGCUUGCCAGGAUCGCCAUCGACUGCAGCGUCGGCUGCGGCGUUCGGCGACGGGCGGCUGGCGCGGGGAAUGACGGCUACCGGAAAGUACUGCGAGAGUGCCAGCUGUGGCGGCGUCCAGCAAAAAGGCGCACUUGUCGGCCUGGCUCGGUUGGGGAUACUGCAGGGUUGAGCAGCGGAGCGAGGAGCGCGGCUGUCGACGGAGCUCGCACGAGCGGCGACCCGGUGAAUGGCCGGGAGGCAUGCAGCCUCGCUGUGGCUCCUAACCGAGAAAAAAAGGGAAUAAGAAUAGGAGAGAGAAGAGAGUAGAGAGAGAGAGAAAAAGGUAUGCCGCGGUGGGCUGCCGGCCGGGCUCAGUCGCGGGCUGGGGGUUGAACACGGGGCAGGGGCAGGUGAAUGUGGCUGGGGCGCAGGUGAAACAUAGGUUAGGUUUUUCAAUUUCAAAACCCUAGAAUAACUUAUAUACAUAAGGCGUUAAUCCGCGCGAAUAAGUCUGCCAAACUCGGUAAUGUCAUCCGAAGUCCUCCAGGUAGACAAAAAGCAAGAAUAUAACCUCAGUGCGAUUCUCACGCAUGAAGGUACAUAAAUGUCGCGACUUUGCGAAAGAUACGAUUUGCCACACCGACCUCUCCCUAUUCAACGCGGAUCCUGGCAAGAUCCUCGUCCAAUUGCGAACGGAUUGCACCAGUGCGAUCAGCACGACGGAGACAACAAAGCUGCGAUUUCGUUUCGUCUUGAUCGACCACGGAUUCACGACAAAAUCCAACCUUUCUACCAAUAGAAGAAAUCACACAAAAAUACAUAUAAAACACGUAUUUUUGGAUUUUCUCGAGAUCCGUGCGUCAAACUCAAAAUCCGUCAGCGUCAUUAGUUCCAGAAUAGCUGACCCGGUCGAAACGAGCUAUUGGACUGCUAUGAACAGAGUCCGGUACGAGCCAGAAGCCAACUUCUCACCGCGGCUUCUCCGGAGAAUCGAGUUACUAUUCACUUUAAGUGAAACUUGGAAAUCGCGUAGAAUUUCCGUUUUAACUCGUUUUCGCACGAAACUUGACGAGUGCUUUUGUAAUUAAAUUACACACAAAAACAUCGUCAACUGAGAGUUUAGCUACACUGCAUAAAUCUCAGUCCUUACAUCAUCCCCUCCUUAAAGGAAGUUUCGUCCUCGAAACUUGCUCACAGGCAGGGGUGAUCCUACGCCAGAGAAUCAACACUCACCUCGGGGAACCGAACUACAACCCGACAAAGCCAGAACUUAACCAUCGGAACCCAUCGAUGGCACUCAACUCUCUUAGGUCCAAGACCUAACCUUUUGCCUAGACCAAAAAGGUCUAAGGCUGCAAGUACCAGUUGCCUUACAAUUGAACCUGCGCAACUCUCACUCGGGUACAAACAGAUCAACAUAAACCAAUGCAUGUCCGUUACUAAGUGAACAAGGUUGCCUCUCGCAACAUGCGAUCGUAACCACCAGUGAUGCCAAACACCUGUCUCUACGAGACCCUGUCGCUGCCGUCCCCAAGGGACCCUAGCGAUCGAUGUUCCUAGCAACACUAAAUGCCCGUCUCAUUGAGACUUCAACAUACCUUUCACCAAGUGACCGAACAAUGACACAAUCCAAUCCAAGGUAUCCACGAUAGACCAAAACAUAUACCUUGUACAACAACGCAAGCUGCGACAUCUGAGCCAACUACAAGGCUCACUAGAUGAUCAAAGAUAACCGUCACCUCUCAUGCAAGAGAAAAGAAAUAUCGACCCAAUCCAGAUGUUCCCCAAAGGGGUAGGAUAUCCUGUCCUAACUUUUGACAAUACGUUGUCUGCAGCCAACGUACUUAUCAAAAGAAAGGUAAGAUACCCGUGGAUCUAUUACCAACAACAAGUUGGAGACAUGACACAAAACUAAGACAACCAAUGACCCUAUAAUGCGCUAGAAUGCACGAACAAAGAUCUGACCUCACGAUUGUACAAAAGCAAGACUCAACACACACCACACUGACAAGAAACCCACAAAGGUCGAAACAUCUGCCUAGGUAACUCCACCAACAAAACCACCUGACAUAACUCAAUAGAAUACACCCUGUGCUUGCGGAUUGACCAGCAAAAACUUUCAAGUCCCGUGUUGGAGGUGGGGCAAUAACACUAGCAAUAGCAGUCUGAUGACACAUCACUAUUCAGAGCUGGUUCGCUCUCUGCCCCCACUCCUAACACCAAAACAAGCACAUGCCAUAACCUGCAACACAAGAACACGAGGUAAUAAACACAAAUCAACCCUCGAACCUAUUAGAUCGAUAACCUCGAGACUAAAUCUCAUAUACCCCGCGCUCGUACGUGCCUACGAUUUUAUGGUCAUCCUAUGGUCAACCUAACCAAUGGUUCAGUUAGAAAACUUGUAAAAGCAGUUGUAGUUGUUUCACGCUCUGAUACCAUCUUAAUCUGUCACGCCCCGGGGCCGAUUUAAAAGUCAUUACCAUUUUUAAAACUCAGAGUCGCGGAAGAUGUACCAAAUUUUUUUUUUUUUUUUUUUUUUUUUUUUUUUUUUUUUUUUGACCCGCCACAAAUACAAAGUUCCUCUGUCCAUUCGGGCAGAGCCUCCUUUGUAUCUGCACGGCGUACCAACGGAUACAACAGGAUCACAACCACAAUCUACAUUUACCAAUCAGCAACCAAUUCAUGAUAUGCAUUUCCAUACAGCUAACAAUCCUUAGAAUGAUGCAUGCCUCUAAGCACUCCUUAGGCGCUGGAUGAUGCAAUGCACAAUACAACAACCAUCCUAUUUAAAAGUGCUCCCCACACAGAAGCUUUUAUUUUUGAACUCUAAUUCAUUCAUCAUGAAAAAUCAUUUGAAAAUCUUUUGAAAACUGUUUCCCACACGGAAACUCUAUUUUGAAAACCGACUACCUCGAGGGGUAGAAAACCACGAUGCGUACAUCCAUAAAUACAAAUUCGAGAACCACAAAGUAUACAAACAUCCCAAAACUGAAGAUCCAUAAACCAAAUCCAUAAUUCCACAAAUCCACAAAUUCAACCAGCUCACAAUAUUCAAACAUCAAGUAUGAUCAUCUAACUGAACCAUAUAAACUAAUUAAGCUAUAACAACAGAAUAGUAAGGAUAAAAACUAAAUCGAUAACCUGGGUCGGAAGCUCUAUCGACCGCUACGAACGUACCUCACGUCUCGUCCCAAAACUCAUCGCCUGUAAUACCUGAAAAAUGGUGGGGGAGGUGAGAACAUGUAAACAUGUCUCCCCUCCCAGUGGGUACCGCAAGCCGAUGAAGGCGAGGAGUACUCACCGGAUCAGGAAGAGCUAAACAACAGUACGGGUCAGUAGAAAAUACAGUAGCAAUAACAAAGAAUGAAGAGACAUAUAUAUGAAAGAAAGUACAACUACCGCUACUGUAAUGUACAACUGCAAGCAUACAAGGAUAUCAAAACUAUAGUAGUAAGACAACUGUAAAGAAAGAACUAGAAGUAUAUAUACAACAACCACUACUAUAGCUAUAUGCGUCAACCGGACGAGAAGUCCAAAAGUACCCAAUCUAAACCGCCGUGUCGGUCUAAGGACCUCAGGCAAAAGCCACUAUCUGCUCACACCUGGCAUGUAACCCUAGCACAAAGACAACACCGCUGGGCUCACGGGUCGGAUGUACGACCACUUUUCCGGAAAAGAACACCCUCCUGCGGGGGAUCAACCCGCUGGUGUACGUGAAAUGCACUCGAGCUGUGGCGAUCAAUGCAGAUAUGAUCAAUAGCCAAACGUCGGCAACCAGCCGACAAUCACCGCCCCUCGGGGCAAACCGACCAAUAGGUCAUCCAACUGUAAGAAAGCACAAGAACCAACCAGUCAGGUCAACUAAGAGGGAACCACUCAACAUCCUAUCGAAGGUAUACAAGCACUGACUACUAACGUCAACUAACAUAUAUGCACGACGAACCGGCGAAUAGGUCACCAGAGUAUAACAAUAAAUCCCGAAUUACCGUCGGCCACUAGCCGACAAUCCAACCCCUCAGGGUACACCGACCUCAUAGGUCAUCGACGACAGGACUCACGAAGCUGACAGACUAGGUCACAAACAUACCAAAUAGUGGAACUGAAUAAACUAUAAUCAUCCGUCGGUGCUAGCCGACAAUCCCACCCCUUAGGGUCUACCGACCUCAAGGGUCAUCGAACGACAGAAGUCAAGAAACAGACCAGCCCAAUACAUAAUGCAACAACCGACCAACCAGGUCAACAGAUAUAAGAUAAAAGCACCGAUCAACUAGGUCACCGAAACGAAGUACGAGAACCGACCAAUCAGGUCACCGAAACAAAGUACGAGAACCGACCAAUCAGGUCACCGGUAUCACAUAUGGAUAAACUACUCUACUCCUACACAUGAUACUAAGCAUAGAAACAUAUGAGUAGAGUAUAAUAGAAACAACGGGGAUGCAAGCUCAAUAUACUAUGCGAUAGUAACAAUAGAAGAGUAAGGGUAAGAAACCGUCACCAAGCGUGCACCACUGUACCGACGUCGGAUCGAAGUACCCACCUGUACAGAUGUCGCGUCUGUCUCCUGACUGCAAAAGAAUGUCGACAGGACCUAUAGAGGGUCCACCGGGUUAGUAUCUAACCCACAACUAAUAAUCACAGUAUCCACAACCCCACAAACGAUUCCACGAAGAUCGGUUUCCCAAUAUCGAUUACCGUAACUCACCGGAAGUCCCGAAAACUACACCGGGACGCCGUCGGGACCCACUACGUGUCCCGAAACUCACCGACUCGUGUCACGAGUCACCUGCUGCCCCAAAACACUCCAA